CAGAGAGAGGUGUGCAUGGACAGAGAGAGGUGUGCGUGGACAGAGAGAGGUGUGCGUGGACAGAGAGAGGUGUGUGUGGACAGAGAGAGGUGUGCGUGGACAGAGAGAGGUGUGUGUGGACAGAGAGAGGUGUGCGUGGACAGAGAGAGGUGUGCGUGGACAGAGAGAGGUGUGCGUGGACAGAGAGAGGUGUGUGUGGACAGAGAGAGGUGUGCAUGGACAGAGAGAGGUGUGCGUGGACAGAGAGAGGUG